AAGCAGCCAUCAUUUAAAGAAAGCGUAAUAGCUCACUGGUCGAGUCGGCCUGCGCGGAAGAUGUAACGGGGCUAAACCAUGCACCGAAGCUGCGGCAGCGACGCUGAUGCGUUGUUGGGUAGGGGAGCGUUCUGUAAGCCUGUGAAGGUGUGCUGUGAGGCAUGCUGGAGGUAUCAGAAGUGCGAAUGCUGACAUAAGUAACGAUAAAGCGGGUGAAAAGCCCGCUCGCCGGAAGACCAAGGGUUCCUGUCCAACGUUAAUCGGGGCAGGGUGAGUCGACCCCUAAGGCGAGGCCGAAAGGCGUAGUCGAUGGGAAACAGGUUAAUAUUCCUGUACUUGGUGUUACUGCGAAGGGGGGACGGAGAAGGCUAUGUUGGCCGGGCGACGGUUGUCCCGGUUUAAGCGUGUAGGCUGGUUUUCCAGGCAAAUCCGGAAAAUC
rnacentral:rRNA from 1 species